rnacentral:lncRNA from 1 species
GACAAAAGUUUCACAGUACGUUUAUUUGCCAGAUUCCUCACAAGGGGGGUUGUUGGCUAAACAGAUCAACCCUGCUGACGGGAGGUGUGGCUGUAUAAAUCACUCUCGGUGUUCUAGAAAGAUACAGAGACAAGACAACUUCAUUAUG